rnacentral:rRNA from 1 species
UGCUGGGCUUUAACUGACGCUGAGGCUCGAAAGUGUGGGGAGCAAACAGGAUUAGAUACCCUGGUAGUCCACACUGUAAACGAUGAUAGCUAGGUGUGGGGGGUCUGACCCCUUCCGUGCCGGAGUUAACGCAAUAAGCUAUCCACCUGGGGAGUACGACCGCAAGGUUGAAACUCAAAGGAAUUGACGGGGGCCCGCACAAGCAGUGGAUUAUGUGGUUUAAUUCGAAGCAACGCGAAGAACCUUACCAGGUCUUGACAUCCAACUAACGAAGUAGAGAUACAUUAGGUGCCCUUCGGGGAAAGUUGAGACAGGUGGUGCAUGGUUGUCGUCAGCUCGUGUCGUGAGAUGUUGGGUUAAGUCCCGCAACGAGCGCAACCCUUGCUAUUAGUUGCUACGCAAGAGCACUCUAAUAGGACUGCCGUUGACAAAACGGAGGAAGGUGGGGACGACGUCAAAUCAUCAUGCCCCUUAUGACCUGGGCUACACACGUACUACAAUGGAUGUUAACAGAGGGAAGCAAGACAGCGAUGUGGAGCAAACCCCUAAAAACAUUCUCAGUUCAGAUUGCAGGCUGCAACCCGCCUGCAUGAAGAUGGAAUUGCUAGUAAUCGCGGAUCAGCAUGCCGCGGUGAAUACGUUCCCGGGCCUUGUACACACCGCCCGUCACACCAUGGGAGCCGGUAAUACCCGAAGUCAGUAGUCCAACCUCGUGAGGACGCUGCCGAAGGUAGGAUUGGCGACUGGGGUGAAGUCGUAACAAGGUAGCCGUAUCGGAAGGUGCGGCUG